rnacentral:snRNA from 18 species
AUACUUACCUUCUUGCGACGCACUGAGCUCAUGUAUUCAGUGGUCUGACUCGUUCGCCUGCAUUGCACAGCGCGGUGUGGAUAAGUCACGAGCUUCCUUCGGGAAUCUCGGCGGGGCAAUUUUUGCUGGUCGCAUCUAAGAGUGCUCUUGUCCUUU